UAGCUCAGUGAUAGAGCCUCUGCUUUAGGUGCGGAAGGUCGCAGGUUCAAUCCUUGGCAUCUCAA